rnacentral:rRNA from 1 species
UACGUAGGGGGCAGGCGUUAAUCGGAAUUACUGGGCGUAAAGCGUGCGCAGGCGGUCUUUUAAGUCAGAUGUGAAAUCCCCGGGCUUAACCUGGGAACUGCGUUUGAAACUGGAAGGCUUGAGUGUGGCAGAGGGGGGUGGAAUUCCACGUGUAGCAGUGAAAUGCGUAGAGAUGUGGAGGAACACCGAUGGCGAAGGCAGCCCCCUGGGCUAACACUGACGCUCAUGCACGAAAGCGUGGGGAGCAAACAGG